rnacentral:rRNA from 1 species
GGCGGCAAGAUAGCCCAUUCAGAGGAACCUGCCCUAUAAACGAUGAACCACGAAUUACUUCACUUUUUUUAGUAAUCAGUUUGUAUACCGCUGUUGUCAGUCAGUUCUACUAAGAUACUUUCAAUAAUGAAAAUUUCAUUGACUUCAAGUAAAGGUGCAGCUUAUAAAAAAGUUAGAGGUGGGUUACAAUUUUAAGAAAAAGAACGAAUAAAAAAUUUAAAUAUUUUUUUGAAGGUGGAUUUGAUAGUAAAAUUUUUGUAAAUUUGACACGAGCACUAACUUGUGUACACACCGCCCGUCG